UUCUUACUUUGCUAAGUAACGGGUCGAGGUCCAUAUUCAUGUUUCCAUCUUUUCACCUUAAACCAUAUAAGAUUUGGGGCGAUACUCAUUAUAGUAUUGAAACUUUCUUGACGUUUAAGUUCUAUUUUCCAUCUCCAUCAAUUACCUUUUCUAUCCUACCUUGUUUCUAUUCUAAACCGAACCUACCAACACCAAACCA
rnacentral:lncRNA from 1 species